rnacentral:rRNA from 1 species
UACGAAGGGUGCAAACGUUGCUCGGAAUUAUUGGGCGUAAAGCGCACGUAGGCGGCAUUGCAAGUCGGAUGUGGAAUCUUAUGGCUUAACCAUAAAAGUGCAUCCGAAACUGCAGUGCUUGAGUACUUAAGAGGAUCGCGGAAUUCCCGGUGUAGAGGUGAAAUUCGUAGAUAUCGGGAGGAACACCAGUGGCGAAGGCGGCGAUCUGGGAAGAUACUGACGCUGAGGUGCGAAAGCGUGGGGAGCAAACAGG